UGUGUAAGCAGCUGGCGGCCCAGGUCCAGGAGGACGGGAGCGAGGGGAACAAGAUCUCCACUCCGGGUGCUAUCGCUGAGGACAAGAAAAGACAGCCCUGAGUCAUCGAGGCAUGGACUUCUCUAGACAGCUGAAGGUAUGCUGUGAUAUCGGGCACCAAGAUGUUAGCAACAGAUCGUUUAAAUCCUGUAAGCUGCAAGGUAGGUAUUACAAUCGCAUGGUGAAGGCAGAUGGUGUGUAUUUUUGUGAGGACCACAGGAGGCAAAAACUGGGAAAAACUAAAUAAAUAAAUGCAAAACCCGAAACACAAGAACACCUUGGAAGCCAAGGAAGGAUUCACAAGAGAAACACAGCUGCACCGACCAAGGCGAAACUGAUGCAACAUAUACACACAAGAGGGAGAUCAGGGAAGUGGAAACACGUGGAGAAACAGCUGGGACCAAUCAGGUGCGACGACACAGUGGGAAGCAAAACUGAGCACACUGAACAUGGGACGCAAGACUGUCAAAAUAAAACAGGAAACAUGGGGACAUAGACCUGAGACACACAGGCUUAACACAACAUGAACAAACAGAGGCAAAAGAUGAGACACAAGGUGAUGAACAGGGGAAGACACGUAAGAGAAACAGUGACAGGACUUAGACACAAAGGGGGAGAGGGAGAGAGACUGAGGGACAGAGAGACAGGUCACACUGGCGACACAGGAGUGAGACAAACACACAAGAGAAACCUCACAGAGAAUAAACCACAAUCUGAGCACAUACAUGCAUGUAUUUACAUAUAUAUUCAUAUUGUAAAUCCAAGUAUGUGUACUUGUGUAUAUAUUGUUUUUUUGUUUUUUUUCUGUAUAUGUCUGAAAUAAAGAUACAAUACAAUGUGAGAAAACCACGUUAAUCCAUUGGAUUGAGAUCUGGGGAAUUUGGAGGCCAAACCAACACCUCAAACUUGCUGUUUGUCCUCAAACCAUUCCUAAACUGUUUUUGCUUUGUGGCAGGGUGCAGUAUAACUUUGAAAGAGAAAACCUGGCUAUCUAUUUAAUGUAAAAGAAAAUGUGAUUUAUCAGACUAGGC
ensembl:lncRNA